rnacentral:rRNA from 1 species
AGUGAACGCUGGCGGUAGGCCUAACACAUGCAAGUCGAACGGCAGCACAGUAAGAGCUUGCUCUUACGGGUGGCGAGUGGGGGACGGGUGAGGAAUACAUCGGAAUCUACUUUUUCGUGGGGGAUAACGUAGGGAAACUUACGCUAAUACCGCAUACGACCUACGGGUGAAAGCAGGGGAUCUUCGGACCUUGCGCGAUUGAAUGAGCCGAUGUCGGAUUAGCUAGUUGGCGGGGUAAAGGCCCACCAAGGCGACGAUCCGUAGCUGGUCUGAGAGGAUGAUCAGCCACACUGGAAUUGAGACACGGUCCAGACUCCUACGGGAGGCAGCAGUGGGGAAUAUUGGACAAUGGGCGCAAGCCUGAUCCAGCCAUACCGCGUGGGUGAAGAAGGCCUUCGGGUUGUAAAGCCCUUUUGUUGGGAAAGAAAAGCAGCAGGUUAAUACCCCGCUGUUCUGACGGUACCCAAAGAAUAAGCACCGGCUAACUUCGUG